rnacentral:rRNA from 1 species
CCUACGGGUGGCAGCAGUGGGGAAUAUUGGGCAAUGGGCGCAAGCCUGACCCAGCAACGCCGCGUGAAGGAAGAAGGCUUUCGGGUUGUAAACUUCUUUUAUGAGGGACGAAAGAAAUGAUGGUACCUCAUGAAUAAGCCACCGCUAACUACGUGCCAGCAGCCGCGGUAAUACGGAGGCGGCAAGCGUUAUGCGGAUUUACUGGGUGUAAAGGGAGUUUAGGCGGGACUGCAAGUCAGAUGGGAAAAUUAUGGGCUCAACCCAUAAAUUGGAUUUGACACUGUAGUUCUUGAGUGAUGGAGAGGCAGGCGGAAUUCGGGGUGUAGCGGUGAAAUGCGUAGAUAUAACGAGGAACACCAGUGGCGAAGGCAGCCUGCUGGACAUUAACUGACGCUGAGGCGCGAAAGCGUAGGGAGCAAACAGGAUUAGAUACCCGGGUAGUC